CUGACCUGAGAGUUCUACCUCCCUCCCACGGGUUUCUACUCUGACCGGGAUGUCUCCCUAGUUCAUAGGUGUCUCUACCCUGACUUGGAAUAUCUCCCUGAUUCUCCAAGUGUGUCCUAACUGACCUAGGGUGGCUCCCCAGUUCCACAGGUGAUAGCGCCUGCAUGUUGGGGCCACUGGGAGAUUAAGUUACGGAUACACCUCGGGUAUCUUACAACAGUGCCUGCCUCGUUGCAAACGCUUGGGUCAGCACGCGGUGCCACACCGAGGUCCCCUUCCUGGCUCCAGACACGGCAGCAUCACAGGGCCCUCUCAUCCUGGGGCGCGCGUGGCUCCAGGGAAUCACCACCGCCCCAGCAGACGUCCUGCAGACGCCACGCCGUGCGGCUGUCCCCCUGCCCCCGAGGACGAAGCACUUGGCACUGACAGCGACAGUGACAAAGGAGGAGCGGCCGGUGCAC